rnacentral:rRNA from 2 species
GUAGGGAAUCUUCCGCAAUGGACGAAAGUCUGACGGAGCAACGCCGCGUGAGUGAUGAAGGCUUUCGGGUCGUAAAACUCUGUUGUUAGGGAAGAACAAGUGCUAGUUGAAUAAGCUGGCACCUUGACGGUACCUAACCAGAAAGCCACGGCUAACUACGUGCCAGCAGCCGCGGUAAUACGUAGGUGGCAAGCGUUAUCCGGAAUUAUUGGGCGUAAAGCGCGCGCAGGUGGUUUCUUAAGUCUGAUGUGAAAGCCCACGGCUCAACCGUGGAGGGUCAUUGGAAACUGGGAGACUUGAGUGCAGAAGAGGAAAGUGGAAUUCCAUGUGUAGCGGUGAAAUGCGUAGAGAUAUGGAGGAACACCAGUGGCGAAGGCGACUUUCUGGUCUGUAACUGACACUGAGGCGCGAAAGCGUGGGGAGCAAACAGGAUUAGAAACCCCAGUAGUCC